rnacentral:rRNA from 1 species
UACGGAGGGGGCGAGCGUUAUUCGGAAUUAUUGGGCGUAAAGGGCGCGUAGGCGGCCUUGCAAGUCAAAGGUGAAAUCCCUCGGCUCAACUGAGGAACUGCCUUUGAAACUGCAUGGCUUGAGGCCGGGAGGGGGUAGCGGAAUUCCGAGUGUAGAGGUGAAAUUCGUAGAUAUUCGGAAGAACACCAGUGGCGAAGGCGGCUCACUGGACUGGUAUUGACGCUGAGGUGCGAAAGCGUGGGGAGCAAACAGG